rnacentral:lncRNA from 1 species
AUUUUUCUAAUUCUCGUGCAACUAUGUGAUAGUUCCAAGGUUGAAGCGGGGGAAAUAUGCCCCUCGAUUCAUAUUACGUUCAGUUGGUUGUUUCAUAUGUGUAUCAAUGAUAGGUUUAUGCAAUACACGCACAUACGUAUCUCAUGUAUGUCACUUCUUUUUCUCACCAUCAAAAUGCUAGCGCAACAAUUUUCGAUCAGCUGUCCCGGCGAGUUGCUGCUGUGUUAAAACAUCUUUGACCAGCUUCGGUCUUUUUGCAGACUUUUCUUUUGCGUUAGAAUAAUUUGGAAUGGAAAGCUAUGCAGGUUAAAAUCUUUUGCGUUAGAAUAAUUUGGAAUGGAAAGCUAUGCAGGUUAAAAUCUUUUGGUUUAUACAGGGUGUCCCAAGGAUUAAGUACGAAUAUUGAAGGAGUCGAUUCUUUGGGUCAAAGGAAGACGUUUUUUGUGGUAUAACUUUUUUCGAAAAACGCUUUCCGUGGGGGCCCCAUUAUCCCCCUAUUAUCAGCUCCUAUUAUUCCAUAUUAGUCCCUAUUAUCUCGAAAACGAUGAGUUGUAGCGAAAAAACGCAAGAGACAUUUUCGCAAUAUUUUUCAACGUUCAAUCUUGUGGUGUCGUCAAAAAUAAAUUUUUGUCGCUAGGAACAUUAAUUUUGGCCACUUUUGGUUCGAUACCCUCCCUAAACCCACCUUAAAAUGAGUUUUACCUUUUUUGGGGGUCAAAAAUGAAAAGAACGCUGAAAAUUACUCCUAGUUACCAAUUUUCAUUAAUAUUGGUUGAUAAACAUUGCCGCAGUGUUAAAAAGGCGAUUUUUUUCCUCCAAUUUUGGGGAGUCGUGGCGCCCAGGGAAAGCGUUCUUGGAAAAAAAAAUUAAACCACAAAGAACGUGUUUUUUUUUACUAAAAAAAUCGACUCCUUCAAUAUUUGUAUUUAAUCCUGGGACACCCUGUAUAUAGGGAGUGUGCAAUGUUCUAGCUCUAGACGAGAGGAUUUUGAAAAAUCAUGAGCAUAUGAAUUUUUAAAAACAACUUUUAAAAAAUGAAGCAAAUGAGGCCUUCAAACUUACUUUCAUUUCACUGAAAAAGAAAAGUUUGGUUGUAUGAACCAAAUGUUUCAUAUCAUCUCAACCAAUUCGGUUUGUCAAACCAAAUUUUUGGUUCGUCAAACCGUACUCUCGGUUCGUGUAAUCGGACUUCAAGGAUAAAAAGAACUGACGAACGAAGUUUGGUCUUAUGUACCGGAUUUUCGGUUACAUGAACCGAAAGUUCAGUUUUGACAAGCCGAAUAUUUGGGAUGUUAUGGAAGACCAAACGUUCGGUUCAUAAGACCGAACUUUUAUUUUUAGUGUUAAUUUGAGAAAAAAAAUAACAACAAAUCCUCUCAUCUGUAGUUAGAGAAUAAGGUGAGAGAAAAAAACCGAAAAAAGUUUUUGCAAAUCCAUCCAUUAGAACCGGAGCAAAGUGUCCCCUUAAGGUCAGAAAACGAUGUUUUGACCAAAAUUUUUGAACACACAUAAGUGUUGCACAAACGCCAAUGCCGUUAAAUUUACCUUAUUGCACACUUUUUUUUCUUCAAAAUUCUCAGAGGGAUCCCUUAAUUGUAAAUAAGAAUCGCAAAUCGAUGAUGAAGCUUUGUAACCAAGUAUCAUAUUCACGGUGUUU